UUUACUACUCCCACAGCUGGUUUUGUGGUCCUUUACUUGUCUCCUUCAUGCAUUAUUUAAUGUUGUCCGAAGUUGCUUGUCUUUUGUUUUUUUGGUAGUUAAUGUGGUAGAGAAUCUAAUAAAGUUUGAAUUUUUAUAUGUUUUUUGAUCUUUACGUGAUGGUUCCUUUUAGGUUAGUUUGUGGUCUCAAAAUGGAAUGGCAUUACAUGGAUCUGAUUUUACAUCAUGGAGGAAAGUUUGAUGAUAACAAACAGAAUUAUGUUGGUGGGGAGAUAGACGUUUUGGAACAUGUGGAUGCAGAUACCUUGUCUGCAAUUGUGAUCAUGAACGUGUUUGAUAAUUAUCACAGGAGCAAAUCCUUCCAGCUGCUGGUAUGUCAUCCCUGGGAUGAGGAUGGAGUUUGGGCUUGAAGAGUUAACAAAUGAUAAUGAUUCAACAAACUUGAUAGCUGCUGUAAAAGGAUAUGAUGAGGUGCACUUAUACUUUGAACAUCCAGUAGAGACUCUUGAGGAACUUAUUGGCAAGGAAGCAUUGGAAUUCUUGGCAAAUGUUGAAAGAGAAGGAAGAGAAAGAGAAGUCAGAGAAAGAUGGAAGCAACAAAAAGAGAAGUAACAUAAACAAGAGAAAGAGAAGCAAGGGAGGUACUUGUACAAGCAACUGAUCAAUAUGAAGAGGAUGAAGAUGAACAGGGGAAUGACUCCACUAGUGGUGAUGACUGAUCAAUGUGAUAGUGGGGAUGAAGAUUGGGAUGAAGAUGAUGAUAAAUUUUAUUGAAGCAACUGAGCCUAGUUUGGAAGAAUAUGAUAUGAACAAUGCAUCUGCAGGAUGUGGAACUUCUACAAUACAUGGUGAUGAAGCUGAAGCUGGAACUUCUACAAUGCAUGCUGGCACCAUUGUUGGUCCUGAAGUGCAAUAGAAGCAGAAUCCUAAAAAGAAGAAUACAAAGACUAGGUUCAAAGAAAUAACAGUAGAAGAAAGGGCGAGAGUGUUUGUAUAAGAACAUUCAAGCUGAGGUGGAGGAACUUUUAGAAUCAGAUGGUUAUCACACUGAGGAGUUAAAGUCCGUUAAUGGUGAUGAAUCUGGCAACGAAGAAAAGGGUGUAUAGUACCCAAUGUUCAAUGAGGGAAAUCAGUUUGGUUUGGUCACCAUUGAACUUGGGAUGGUAUUUUCAUCCUUAAAGGUCUUCAAGAAUGUCGGGAGGGACUACAAUAUCAGCAUUGAAAGGGUAGUAAAUUUUAAGAAAAGUGAAAAAGGCAGAGUGAGGGCUCUGUGUGCUGAUAAAGGGUGUGAUUGGAAGAUACUUUGCUCAAUAAAUAGGAAGACCAACUGUUAUCAAGUGAAAAUGUUUAAAGAUGAAAACAAAUGAUAUAAAAGAGUGCAAAACUGGUUGGCUACAAUGGAGUGGGUGGCAAGUAAGUUGGUCUCACAGUUAAGUACACAUCCAGAGAUGAAUGGUCAAAAUGCUUAUGAUUUCAUGAUGCACACCUAUAGAGUUAAAGUGUUUAAUGUUACUCUAUAUAGAGUCAUCAAGAAAGCUCAUAAGAUAUGUGAAGGUUAAGAGAAAGAAUAAUAUGCGAAGCUCAGGGAUUACUACAAUUAACUUGUGAAAAGCAACCUGGAGUCAACUGUGGGACUGAAUGUUGCGCUUGUGACUCAUGAGCUUAAGGGAAUGUAUGUGUGCUUGGAAGCUUACAAGACUGUUUUCUUGGUUGCUUGUAGGCCACUCAUUGGUCUAGAUGGUUGUUUCCCAAAAGGGUAUUACGGGGGACAACUUCUUUCUAUUGUUGCUUAGGAUGGCAAUAAUGCAUUCUAUGUGAUUGCAUACGCAGUAGUGGAUGUAGAAAAUAGGGAUAAUUGGAUUUGGUUUUUGAGGAAUCUUGUGGAUGACUUAGGAAAUCUUGAGUUGAAUCGUUAUAGCUUCAUAUCUAAUAGGUAGAAGGUAUGUCUCGUAACACUUAGAGUGAUUAUUUAUUGAACUUAUUAUAUAUUUUUCAGUUGCUAAUUAAAUAAUAUUGACUUUAUAGGGUCUAGAUGCUGCACUGGCAGCAGUUUGCCCAAGAGCACCACACAGGUAUUGUGCUAGGCAUAUCUGGGCCAAUUUGAGCAGGAAUUGGAAUGGAAAGGCCCUGAGGGAUACAUUCUAGAUAGAUGCUAAAGCAACAACUGAGCAACAAUGUACACAACACAUGGACACCAUUAAGGGACUGAGUGAAGCCGCAUGGCAUUGGCCAAAGAAGAUACCAGUUGAAAGAUGGAGCAGAUUAGCUUUUGAUAUCCAUACAAAGAAUCCCUUAGUGACAAACAACAUGUGUGAGCAAUUCAAUGGUCAGCUAUUGAAAGUGAGGAGCAAGCCCAUCAUCACCAUGACUGAAGGAGUAAGAGUAUACAUAAUGAAGAAGUUGACAAGGAAUGCAAAGCUAGUGGCAAACUAGACGAGUCCAUUAAGCCCCAUAAUUUAGUCAAAGUUGGAAAUGAAUAAACAUAAAUCUUCUACUUGGACACCACAUUGGUCAAGGGAUGCUUCUAUUUUAAACUUUGAGGUAACUUGUCCACUUAGGUCUAAGUGUGCAGUUGAUAUGGAAAAGCGUACAUGUUCUUGCAAGGAAUGGGAUACCACAAGGAUUCUUUGCAUGCAUGUUGUUGCUUGCAUUUCCUACAAUAACCAAGCACCUGAAAAUACUGUGCAUCCAUGGUAUACAAGGACCACACAAUAGAAACGUUAUGCUUCCUUCAUUAAACCUAUUGCUGGUGAUGAGUACUAGACUAAAUCAGGUAUGGACCCUGUCCUACCCCCAAAGCUGAAGAGGCAACUAGGGCGUCCCAAAAAGCAAAGGGAAAAGACCCCGGAGGAAAGAAAAGAUCCAUAUAAUCUUAAAAGAAGCCUAGUCACUAACUUGUUCAAAAUGCGGAGAAAGUGGUCAUAAUAGGGUGUCAUGCAAGGGUCCUAGUGUAGCUAACAAGAAGAUAAAGGAAACAAAUGCGUCAAGAACAGAACAAGGUGCUGUGCCGGGGACGAGGGUAGGUCAGUUGGUCUAGGGAAGGGGAGCAGCAGCCGAAACCUUCUCUUACCUUCGAAAGGGGGAGACCGUUGACCCCUAAAUUAGACCUAGUACUGUAAAUGUUGAAGGUGGGGCAAAUAGUGGAUCUAAUUCAGUCCAAGCAAAGGAAAUUCUAGUGUCUCAAAACUUUGCCCCACGAUUGACACCACGACCAUCAUUGCGUUAUCAUAUGACAAAUUUUCUUAGACAGAUACAAUUUCUUUAACUGUCAACAUUAAUUUAUUCUAAGUGAUUGUGAUUGCUGAAUGUGGAAUAGGUGCAAAUGAAAGUGAUGAAUGCCUUAGGUCCAGACAUGACACCAUCAAGUCCAAUAAUGGCACGAUCAGCUUCAAUGAUGGCACCCUUAGAUCCAGUCAUGCCACCUCAAGUGUCAAACAUUCCAAGACAGGUAUAUAUUAAAAAAAAAUUGAAUUUCAGUUUAGUUUGCAUGCUUGUGAUUGCUAACUGUGCAGUAAGUGCCAAUGGAGAGGGACAAUGCCUCAGAUCUAGUCAUGGCAACUAAAAUAACAGCUCCAUCAGUACAGAUGAGGAAUGUUGCAAGUCCAUCACUGCCUACUAAAACGACAAAUGCAUCAUCACAGGUGGACUUGCCACAGGGAGCCAAGCACCCCAUGCAUUUAGGCCCCCUGCAUUUACAGCAGAUACUACACUCCCUAACCAAUAAGUACUGCCAUGAUAAGGAGGGGACAACAAGCAAUGUCAUCACAAACCAUGCAAGUUGUCAGCCUUGGGACUGCUAAGAGAUUUGGUGCAUUUUUUAACAUGAACCAGGACCAAUUGUCUCCGUCACAGUAAAGGAGUGUAUGUGAUGCUCAUUUUGUAUAUUUUUGUGAACAUACCUGGACAUUAGGAUAAAUUUGCAGUUAUUGGGUUUGUUUUUGUAAAGGGUUUCUGUUGAUUGUAAAGGGGUUUCUUUUUGUAAAAGGUUUAUGUUGAUUGUAAAAGGGGUUUCCUUUUGUCAAGAUGGCUCUAUGUUGGGAAGGGUACAAGUUGCUUGUAAAAGGGAUUUGUUGUAUGUUAUGUCUAUGAAUGUCA